rnacentral:rRNA from 1 species
ACCCGACUGCUAUCGGAUUGGGAUUUAGCCAUGUUAGUUGUGCGCGCUCGGCCAUACGAGAGGCGCAGCAUACGGCUCAGUAACACGUAGUCAACCUGCCCUGGAGACGCGGACAAUCGCGGGAAACUGCGGCUAAUACGCGAUAGAUGACCUCCUCUGGAAGGAGAGGUCGUCCAAAGGGCUGCACGGGUAUGCUCUGUGCAUUCGCUCCAGGAUGGGACUGCGGCCGAUCAGGCUGUUGGCGGGGUAAUGGCCCACCAAACCUGUAACCGGUACGGGCUUUGAGAGAAGGAGCCCGGAGAUGGACACUGAGACAAGGGUCCAGGCCCUACGGGGCGCAUCAGGCGCGAAAACUUCGCAAUGCGCGAAAGCGUGACGAGGCUAGUCCGAGUGCUUCCCGCUGAGGGGAGCUUUUCUCGGCUGUAAAUAGGCCGGGGAAUAAGGGGAGGGCAAGUCUGGUGUCAGCCGCCGCGGUAAUACCAGCUCCUCGAGUGGUCGGGACGAUUAUUGGGCCUAAAGCACCCGUAGCCGGUUCGGUGAGUCCUCUGUCAAAUCCAACCGCUCAACGGUUGGCUCGCAGAGGAUACUGCCGGACUAGGAGGCGGGAGAGGCGGACGGUACUCCGCGUGUAGGGGUAAAAUCCUUUGAUCCGCGGAAGACCACCAGUGGCGAAGGCGGUCUGCCAGAACGCGCUCGACGGUGAGGGGUGAAAGCUGGGGGAGCGAACCGGAUUAGAUACCCGGGUAGUCCCAGCCGUAAACGAUGCGAGCUAGAUGAUUCAAUCGCAAUACGCGAUCGAAGUGUCGCAGGGAAGCCGUUAAGCUCGCCGCCUGGGGAGUACGGUCGCAAGGCUGAAACAGCGAAGCUGGAAAGAGAUUCGGUAGAUCGUCCAGCCGACGUCGGACGAUUUCGGUGUGCUAUCAGAAGGAAAGGCCUUUCGUAAUUCGCAAAGACGUCAGUCGAAUGACACAGCUAAACGCGCAGACGAAAGGAACACAGAUACAAGAUCAAUCAACGAACUGACAGCAACCAGAAAACGGAUACAACUCCGACUUCGCUGCAGCACACUUAAAGGAAUUGGCGGGGGAGCACCACAAGGGGUGAAGCCUGCGGUUCAAUUGGAGUCAACGCCAGGAAACUUACCAGGAGCGACAGCAGGUUGAGGGUCAGGCUGAAGACUUUACCUGACGAGCUGAGAGGAGGUGCAUGGCCGUCGCCAGCUCGUGCCGUGAGGCGUCCUGUUAAGUCAGGCAACGAGCGAGACCCUUGCCGGUAAUUGCUAGCCGAGGUAGCAGUAUCUCGGAGGCUAGUUACCGGGACUGCCGCUGCUAAAGCGGAGGAAGGAGAGGGCUACGGCAGGUCAGUAUGCCCCGAAACUCCUGGGCCACACGCGGGCUGCAAUGGUAGGGACAGUGGGUCCCGACCUCGACAGAGGAAGGCAAUCCUCAAACCCUACCCCAGUUGUGAUUGAGGGCUGAAACCCGCCCUCAUGAAUAUGGAAUCCCUAGUAACCGCGUGUCAUCACCGCGCGGUGAAUACGUCCCUGCUCCUUGCACACACCGCCCGUCGCUUCACCCGAGUUGGGCUUUGGCGAGGCCGGCUCUAGUUGGGCCGAUCGAACCUUGGUUCGACAAGGGGGGAG